CUUGUUUUGGAGCUAGAAGGUGUUACAAGGUUGAGUGCUUCAGACCUAUUCCUGCAGUUCUAUAAAAACACCCCACUCACACCCUGAUGAAGACAGGAAAACUAAAUUAAAAAACAAUACGCAGCAAAACAAUACGUCUAUGUAUCCCCUACAGGUCUUGGCAUUUGAACCUGAAAGGAGAAUGUUUGAAUAGUUUAUAGACUGAAU